AAUAUAGAAGCCUCCCCACCAUAGCAGAACAUGGCCUACCAUAGCAGAGCAUGGGGUGGGAAUGAGGGAAGGAGCUCUCUUGCUGAUUCUUGGUUCAGCAUCCUUCACCCAAGGCCAGGAGAUGGGGUUCCAGUUUCUACUUCUCCACUUCUCUGUGUGACCUGGAUGGGUCACAAAACCUUCGGCAAUGCUGUAUCAUCUAUAAAAUGGGUAUAGUUGCUCUUACCAUGCCAAAAACAACCAGAAAGAUUUUGUAAUAGUCUAUAAAGUGCUAUUCCGACAUUACAAUCAUGGGCAAGGUCAUGAUGGGUUUGAUGUACAGGCCUUGGAGCAAGAUUGCCUGACUUUGUAUUCUCACUACUUGCUGACAUCUGACUUGCCUACCACACACAGCUCUCUCACCUCCGAACUGCACUUGGAAAUGAAAUAGUAAUGACACUUUUCUGGGAGAAGUGUUCAAGUCACCAAUGUAUCCAUGAAGCUUAGCGCAUCCUGAAGGCUAGAGCUCUGCCUGUUGACUACUGCUCUGGGAAUGCCAUUGUCCCGUCAGCUUCGUUGACCUACAGUGUUCUUUCAUCUCCACGAGAUGAGACAGAAUUCUUUGAAGACAGCAGGGGGCUCUGCUUUGAAUCUGUGACAUCGGAGUUUGAGUCUUUCAUUAUCCCUUUCGGGAGGGGGGGCUUCCAAAAAUACUUUAUCCUUAAGCAGUUUUCAUUAUGGAUGUGAGUUGCUCAAACCUUAACUAAUUCACGCUCACUUAGAUCCCAGCAGAGUUUUUUUCUUUUUCAUUUUCUCCCCCGGCAUCCUCUGAUGUCAGUCCAAACAGAAAUCUGCAUGGAAGAUUUGAGACCCACACUUCUACUGGCAUUAUCAGAACAUCCCUGGGAGUGUAUUAAUAGCCUGGAGUCAAGCUCCUCCUACAUCUGGUCUACCUAGAUGUGAUGGGGUAGGUCCUUCUGUGAGAAGGAGGAUUCUGGAAAAUGUAGGAAAGGGAAGGAGUCACCAUGUGAUCCCGGGAAGAAGAGGACGCGUAAGGCUGGCUUCCUUGGCGAGAUAAGUCUUUAUAAAAAUAUAUAGAUCAGUAGUUGUGGUUGAUAAUUAAGACUGAAAGAGUAAUCGUUACAAAAUGGCGACCAUGUGAUUUUACAAACUUCCACAUAAAAACUUCAGAAAAGCUUAAAAAGGGAUUUUAGAAGCAAAAGAACAGAGAUUAGCAUGAAUUCUUGGUAGCAGCAUUUUCUUGGGUGGUCUGUUUUUCUAGAGACAAGCAGAUAUUCGAGCCGCUCCCUUAAGGGAGGUUUCCUGACUCAGCAUAAGUGGAAAAAACCACAGGGCUCUCUUAAAAGGCCUUGCUAACAAUUGAAUGGUGUGUACUGGCAGUGGCAGUGACCACAUCUCCAAGCUGGCACCAUGCUCCUUGAUGGUAGCAUAGACCAAGGCAGUAAGCACAGCUCUCAGUC
rnacentral:lncRNA from 1 species